AUUGAACGCUGGCGGCAGGCCUAACACAUGCAAGUCGAGCGGAUGAAGGGAGCUUGCUCCUGGAUUCAGCGGCGGACGGGUGAGUAAUGCCUAGGAAUCUGCCUGGUAGUGGGGGAUAACGUCCGGAAACGGGCGCUAAUACCGCAUACGUCCUGAGGGAGAAAGUGGGGGAUCUUCGGACCUCACGCUAUCAGAUGAGCCUAGGUCGGAUUAGCUAGUUGGUGGGGUAAAGGCCUACCAAGGCGACGAUCCGUAACUGGUCUGAGAGGAUGAUCAGUCACACUGGAACUGAGACACGGUCCAGACUCCUACGGGAGGCAGCAGUGGGGAAGAUUGGACAAUGGGCGAAAGCCUGAUCCAGCCAUGCCGCGUGGGUGAAGAAGGGCUUCGGAUUGUAAAGCACUUUAAGUUGGGAGGAAGGGCAGUAAGUUAAUACCUUGCUGUUUUGACGUUACCAACAGAAUAAGCACCGGCUAACUUCGU
rnacentral:rRNA from 1 species